rnacentral:lncRNA from 1 species
AAAGAAGCCAGUGCAGUGAGCAAGAGUCUCCUUGAACUCCUGCAUCAAGCUUGGACAGAGGACCAGAAUUACUCAUGAACAAAGUGUUAAAUGCUUCCUAUAUAACUCUUUUGUGAGGCUGAAGUAUAUACUUAUUCAGUUUUCAUCUUCAUCAUAUUGAUGAAUUUGGACAAAACCUGCUUACCUCCAGCCAUUGUUUUGGAAAGGGCACAUACUGGUAGCAGACGGCCUUAUUGAACACUGCUGUCCUUCAGGAUGUUCCUGGAAGAGGAUGUUACUAUAAAGCUGCACAGAAGGCCUGCUGUACUGCUGUCUAUAAUUCCUUGUUACUGCUUUCUUCAUGAUUUCUUCCCUUGGGAUUUAAAGAUUUUGUUUCACAAGAUGCAGAACUAA